GCGGAUGUAGUUUAAUGGUAGAACAUGAGCUUCCCAAGCUCAGAGCGCGGGUUCGAUUCCCGUCAUCCGCU
rfam:Streptomyces sp. DvalAA-14 genome assembly, contig: Ga0115240_1236